UCUAUAUAACAUAGAUACAUUACGUGUGUAUGUGUGUGUGCUACACACGUAAUGUAUCUAUGUUAUAUAGAC
rnacentral:pre_miRNA from 1 species